AAUAAACUAAUUUUUCACCUUUUACCUAUAAUUUUUGGCUUUUCGUCUUAUUUAAAUUUUUUUGCGAUUGAUAUUUUUGUUUUUAUUAGAUGAUAAAUUAUGAAUAGUACUUUGCGUGUGACUAAUUUUUUUCUAAUUUUCUAAAAAAAUUUCAAAUAAGACGGAUGGUCAAACGUGGGACACGGAAAACCGAAG
rnacentral:pre_miRNA from 1 species